rnacentral:rRNA from 1 species
UACGUAGGGUGCAAGCGUUAAUCGGAAUUACUGGGCGUAAAGCGUGCGCAGGCGGUUUUGUAAGACCGAUGUGAAAUCCCCGGGCUUAACCUGGGAACUGCAUUGGUGACUGCAAGGCUUGAGUGUGUCAGAGGGAGGUGGAAUUCCGCGUGUAGCAGUGAAAUGCGUAGAGAUGCGGAGGAACACCGAUGGCGAAGGCAGCCCCCUGGGCCAACACUGACGCUCAGGCACGAAAGCGUGGGGAGCAAACAGG